UGGGGAAUUUUGGACAAUGGGCGAAAGCCUGAUCCAGCAAUGCCGCGUGUGUGAAGAAGGCCUUCGGGUUGUAAAGCACUUUUGUCCGGAAAGAAAUCCUUGGCUCUAAUACAGUCGGGGGAUGACGGUACCGGAAGAAUAAGCACCGGCUAACUACGUGCCAGCAGCCGCGGUAAUACGUAGGGUGCAAGCGUUAAUCGGAAUUACUGGGCGUAAAGCGUGCGCAGGCGGUUUGCUAAGACCGAUGUGAAAUCCCCGGGCUCAACCUGGGAACUGCAUUGGUGACUGGCAGGCUAGAGUAUGGCAGAGGGGGGUAGAAUUCCACGUGUAGCAGUGAAAUGCGUAGAGAUGUGGAGGAAUACCGAUGGCGAAGGCAGCCCCCUGGGCCAAUACUGACGCUCAUGCACGAAAGCGUGGGGAGCAAAACAGGAUUAGAUACCCUGGUAGUCCACGCCCUAAACGAUGUCAACUAGUUGUUGGGGAUUCAUUUCCUUAGUAACGUAGCUAACGCGUGAAGUUGA
rnacentral:rRNA from 1 species